rnacentral:rRNA from 1 species
AACGCGUGGGAAUAUGCCCUUCUCUAAGGAAUAGCCUCUGGAAACGGAGAGUAAUACCUUAUACGCCCUUCGGGGGAAAGAUUUAUCGGAGAAGGAUUAGCCCGCGUUAGAUUAGGUAGUUGGUGGGGUAACGGCCUACCAAGCCUACGAUCUAUAGCUGGUUUGAGAGGAUGAUCAGCCACACUGGGACUGAGACACGGCCCAGACUCCUACGGGAGGCAGCAGUAGGGAAUCUUAGACAAUGGGGGAAACCCUGAUCUAGCCAUGCCGCGUGUGUGAAGAAGGCCCUAGGGUCGUAAAGCACUUUCGCCAGAGAUGAUAAUGACAGUAUCUGGUAAAGAAACCCCGGCUAACUCCGUGCCAGCAGCCGCGGUAAUACGGAGGGGGUUAGCGUUGUUCGGAAUUACUGGGCGUAAAGCGCACGUAGGCGGAUUAGUAAGUUAGAGGUGAAAUCCCAGGGCUCAACCCUGGAACUGCCUUUAAUACUGCUAGUCUUGAGUUCGAGAGAGGUAAGUGGAAUUCCAAGUGUAGAGGUGAAAUUCGUAGAUAUUUGGAGGAACACCAGUGGCGAAGGCGGCUUACUGGCUCGAUACUGACGCUGAG